GACGAACCGUGCAAACGUUAUUCGGAAUCACUGGGCUUAAGGGGCGCGUAGGCGGGCUGGCCAGUCUGUGGUGAAAUCCCCCGGCUUAACCGGGGAACUGCCGUGGAUACUGCCAGUCUCGAGGAGGGUAGGGGCAUCUGGAACAGCCGGUGGAGCGGUGAAAUGCGUUGAUAUCGGCUGGAACUCCGGUGGCGAAGGCGGGAUCCUGGGCCAGUACUGACGCUUAGGAGCGAAAGCGUGGGGAGCAAACAGG
rnacentral:rRNA from 1 species